rnacentral:rRNA from 1 species
AAACCGGAGGAAGGUGGGAUGACGUCAAGUCCUCAUGGCCUUUAUGUCUAGGGCUACACACGUACUACAAUGGCCGGUACAAAGGGCAGCCACUCAGCGAUGAGGCGCUAAUCCCAUAAGCCGGUCUCAGUCCGGAUCGCAGUCUGCAACUCGACUGCGUGAAGUUGGAAUCGCCAGUAAUCGCGGAUCAGCAUGCCGCGGUGAAUACGUUCCCGGGCCCGUU